GAUGAACGCUGACAGAAUGCUUAACACAUGCAAGUCAACUUGAAUUUGGGUUUUUAACUUAGGUUUGGGUGGCGGACGGGUGAGUAACGCGUAAAGAACUUGCCUCACAGCUAGGGACAACAUUUGGAAACGAAUGCUAAUACCUAAUAUUAUGAUAAUAGGGCAUCCUAUAAUUAUGAAAGCUAUAAGCGCUGUGAGAGAGCUUUGCGUCCCAUUAGCUAGUUGGAGAGGUAACGGCUCACCAAGGCGAUGAUGGGUAGCCGGCCUGAGAGGGUGAGCGGCCAAAAGGGGACUGAGACACGGCCCUUACUCCUGCGGGAGGCAGCAGUGGGGAAUAUUGGACAAUGGACCGAGAGUCUGAUCCAGCAAUUCUGUGUGCACGAUGAAGUUUUUCGGAAUGUAAAGUGCUUUCAGUUGGGAAGAAACAAAUGACGGUACCAACAGAAGAAGUGACGGCUAAAUACGUG
rnacentral:rRNA from 1 species